rnacentral:rRNA from 1 species
UACAGAGGUCCCAAGCGUUGUUCGGAUUCACUGGGCGUAAAGGGUGCGUAGGCGGUCGGGUAAGUCUGAUGUGAAAUCUCACAGCUUAACUGUGAAACUGCAUUGGAUACUAUUCGGCUUGAGAGUUGGAGGGGGGGACUGGAAUUCUUGGUGUAGCAGUGAAAUGCGUAGAUAUCAAGAGGAACACCAGUGGCGAAGGCGAGUCCCUGGACAACUUCUGACGCUGAGGAGCGAAAGCGUGGGGAGCGAACAGG